GAAAACCGCUCGACUUCCAAAACAUUUGCAAACUGAAGCAUACAUUUCCAGAAGCAUUUACUUAUGAAAAACUCAACACAGAAGUCACAUGGCACGUUUGACUUCCGAAAAGCGUUCAGAAACCGGAGCAGUGACUUCCAGGUUUUCAGCAUUCAAAAACUGAAAAGUUCGACUUCCAGGAUGUUCAAAAACCGAGGUACCACUGUAGUUGCUUUGGAAGAUGAUAAUCCUUAGAUAUAAUUAGGAGACGGUUUGCUAAGAUCCUUGCAAUUAUUUUGCUGGCCGCAGCUAAUAAAGAAAUGCCUCAAUAAUUUCCGCAUUUUUCAUGCAACAGAACAUCAGAGACUUACAAAAUGAGUUUCCAGAGGGGUAGCCCAGUGUUGCAGUGAAAUCAGCAGUCUUGUGGCACCUUAAAAACUAACAUGUUUAUUGUGGCAUAAACUUUUGCGGAUCAGAUUUCACAUAAUCAGAUGCAUGAAGUGUUGGCUGAGUUUGCAGGUAUAUAUAAACAUGAUUUUUGGGUGGUGGGGAUUAUACACAGCGAGGUCAGAGAAAAAUGCAGAAAGUACACAUAAUUAUGUAGUGAACAGUGGCAAUUCACAAAACAGAACCAAAACACCCAGUGCAUUUCCCAAAUCCUUGAUUAAAAAAGAAAAGGGGAAAAAAUGCAUGUUGUGCAAAUCUGUCCACCCAUGUCUAGCUUCCUAAAAUAUACCUGUUGCUAUUUAUUCUUUGGUUUACUUGCAUCUGUGCUGCAGUUUCCUUUAUUUUCCUCAUUGUGAUAAAAGUACAGUGGUACCUCGGGUUACAAACACUUCAGGUUACAGACUCCGCUAACCCGGAAGUAGCACCUCGGAUUAAGAACUUUACCUCAGGAUGAGAAGAGAAAUUGUGCGGUGGAGGCGCGGUGGCAGCGGGAGGCCCCAUUAGCUAAAGUGGUACCUCAGGUUAAGAACAGUUUCAGGUUAAGAACAGACCUCCGUAAUGAAUUAAGUUCUUAACCAGAGGUACCACUGUAAUUUGUCACAGAUCAGCCUAUCUUCCAAACUGUAUUUGCCAUAAACAGAGGUCAGCAUUAAGAUCUACCCCCAAAUACCCCAAAGGUCGAACACAGCCAAAUCCAAUGUCCUCAAAAACAUUUUGGUACCUGAGGUGAACCACAAAAUGGUGCCCCCUCCCUGCCAGGGAAGAUGGGGUGAGCGAAGAUCUACAUAAGAAACAAGGUGCUGAUAAAGAUCUUGUUUGGGAUCUGCUGUCCCUGUUGAAUCAGCCGCCCAAGGCAGUCGGUUCAUCUUGCCUCACAGGCGGACCAGCCCUGCCUCAACGCAGUCAGCAGCCUAUUUGUUUAUUUGCAACACUUAUUCCCCUGAUCUUCCUCUGAGGAGCUCACAGGGACUUACUGAGGCUUCCCCAGGUGAUUCGAUCCAAGCAACUUACAGACACUGCUCCCUGGUGACAAUUCAGACUCUAGAUUUUCAGAAGCAAGUUGUGCCUUUAGAUGUCUGACCGAUGUCUUUAGCUAGUGUGCACUUUCUGAAAAACAAAAACCUGAACACUGUAAUGAAAAUGCUCCAAAACUGAGAGUAGGGGGAACAAAAACAGGGAUGAACAAAAACAUCACAAAAGUGUGUCACACCUUCAAGUUUUCCAGAGCUGCAGUCCAGACUGGACUUUUUGCACAUAGAAUUGGAAGGGACCCCAAGCAAGAAGAAUUACCGACGAAAGAAGAAUGGAGGAUGAAGUUGAUGGAUUAUACAGAAUUAGAUAAAUUAACAGGAAGGAUUCGAAACCUGUGGGAUCAGAGAUUCUUAGAGGACUGGAGUAAAUAUAUGAAAUAUUUGAAAAGUAAUUGUGAUGAACAGAUUACGCUAGUAGGACUGCAAGAAGUUUUGUAAGGUGGAUUAUUUGAAAUAUUGCAAGAAAGACUAUGAAGAGAAUUAUUAAUUAAGGAUAAUUAAAUGUAAUAUAGAAACUAAGAAAUGCAUAAUAAGUGAUAAAAGUACAGAAAAUCAUCAGAGGUGUUGAUGGAAGUCCAAAAAUAUUGUAUAAGAUGAGAAGUUAUGUUGUAUGACUGUUGGAACUGAUAUGUUAAAAAAUUAAUAAAAAUAUAUAUAUUUUUUUAAAAAAAGAAUUGGAAGGGACCCCAAGGGUCAUCUAGUCCAACCCUCUGCAAUGCAGGAAUCUCAGCUAAAGCAUCCAUGGCAGAUGGCCAUGCUGUUAGGCCACUGUGAAAACAGAAUAUUGGGCAAGAUGGGCCUUUGCCCUGAUCAAGCGGGGCUCUUCUUAUGCCCCUAUAUGCUUUGCAGAAAGUUCCAAUUCCCUCUAAUGGUAUAAUCACAAAGGUUGCGCUUUAGAUAUUAUAGCAGAACAAAGAACAGACGCCCCCCACCCCCCCUUUAAAAGAAGGUAGGUGGGCCCAAGCUGGUGUGUGCAAUGGAUCACAAAUGGAAAGAGCUACUCAAGACCACCGGAUAACAUUUUGAGUGCAAUCAUUUGAUAGAAAGAAAGGAUACAAUUUUAUGUGCCCUCUUUCUUUCUUUCUUUCUUUCUUUCUUUCUUUCUUUCUUGUUGUCAAGUUACAUUUUAGGACAAGGCAACUCGCAACAGAAAUGUCUUUAAAACCAACAACCCCCUCAAUAAUAAUAAUUACCCAUAGCACUGCAAAUACCCCAAAUGGUAUCCAAUGCUAAUCCUACUCAGAGUAGCCCCAUUGGCAUUAAUAGACAUGACUGACCUAGGUUCAUUAACUUUAAUGGGUGAACUCUGAAUAGGGCUUAAUUAAGUACCCCCCUCCAAUUUGUUUGAUAGCAUUAACUUACAUUUUUACCCUCAUUUACCCAAAAUGGAAGAUUAAGAAUGAGAUUGCUGGGUUUUUUUUCCUUGAGAAACAGAGCUAAAACAACUGGGAUCACUGUAAAUGGAAACUAUCUGAGAGGCCAAAUAAGAAGUUACUGGCAAGAGCUAACGCACCAAAGGAGCUCCUCCUUUUUUCUGCAAACACAAAAUCCCCAUUAAUGUAAUUCUAUUAUUUCAGUCCCAAGGCGUCACGUUUAAAUUACAGAACUGCCUCAUUAUACAAAGGCUCAAGGGGAGAUCCAAAACACUCUGAUUGAAGUUCAGAAAAUAUGAAUGACAUUUACAUAGGGCUACACAAGGCCGCUUGGUGGAAACAGUGUCUGCAAUUCUGUGUGCCAUUCGGCUAGCCGAAAUCCCAUUAAAGACAACGGCAUUUAAAAACCCGCAUGCGGAACUGCAGCCCUCCUUAAUUUGGGUAAUCAGGAGAUUUUAAUGACUCAGGUGUUUAAUAACUGACAACAAACCGUCUCAUUUUAUAAUGACCUGUCUCAUCCUCCUCUCUGCGUCGAGAUAAGCUUGUGGAUGAAAUGAUCAGUUUUUGCCGUGAGUGGAAAAGAAAAUGGCUUGCUUUCUCUGAUUCUAGGAUUAAAGAUUUCCAAUGGAAUAACGUGCACUCCAGUCAUGCUUAGCUCUGGCAAGACAUAUAUAUAUAUAUCUCGAGUUUAUUGUCAGGAGAUCUCCUGCUGGAAAUAUUUUGUCUGAAGCGAGAGCUGGCGGUGACUGACCUUUCACAGUGGGCACAAUAUGAUGGCGAACAUUGCUGAACUGUCAGAGCUUCUGUAACAUGACCAAAUCCCUUCUGAUAGGAAGACUCGAGAGCAAUGAGCUUCCCAUGACCUACUCAUAAUACCCCUUUGACCCUGCCGGUAGGUUACAAAUCUAAUACAGGGUUUGAAAAACCACAUUUGGGCCACAUGCUGUUUUGGCUUCCCAGCAAUACCUUUUGUCUUCUCCAGCGAAAAGUUGCCUCAGAAAUCUGAAGCUAAAAAGUUCCACGGAGUUUUGCCUCCUUUCUCUCCAUCGCAACGAGGAAAUAUGACUGGAAAUGGAAGUUAACAUGAGCUGUCCAAAGGGCCUCGUCAUUAUUUAGAUUGGCAAAUCGCUUGUGACAGAUGCAUAAAUAAUGCUGUCCUCUCUAGCUUCCCAGCCUGCUGUUAAAUGCACAGCAAUAUUGAGAGUCAAGCUGAAUUUACAUACGCAAUGUUACACUGUGGCUGAGGUUUCUGUUUCUACAUGGUUGGGUGUUUCUCGGUUUUAUUUAAAAAGGGUUGUAUACCUAAUGGUGCCAAGUCACCCUGGUCGAGCCAAGCAGGACUGGUCCCAGAUCUUGUGGAUGUCAGCAAAAUAACCGGUUGGGAAGUGAAGCUACCAGGGCAAAGCAUCAGGGCUGUGAUGGUGCAGGGCAGAGGUUUAAUUUUUAAUUUUUAACCCAGUCAGUGUGCCAGUGCAAUUGUGUUAGUGCAGCUCCCCAAACAGGUGAAGAAAUGGGAAUGGUGUUAAAGGAAUGGAGGAGCCUACACUAUCCAGGAAUAGGACUGCUCCUCAUGCCGGUUGUGUGUUCAAAUUACCAGGGGUUAGCAGGCAGAAUGUGGGACGCAGGUGGCGCUGUGGGUUAACCACAGAGCCUAGGACUUGCUGAUCAGAAGGUCGGCGGUUCGAAUCCCCGCGAUGGGGUGAGCUCCCGUUGCUCAGUUCCUGCUCCUGCCAAUCUAGCAGUUUGAAAGCACGUCAAAGUGCAAGUAGAUAAAUAGGGGGGAAGGCGGGAAGGUAAAUGGCGUUUCCGUGCACUGCUCUGGUUUGCCAGAAGUGGCUUAGUCAUGCUGGCCACAUGACACGGAAGCUGUACGCCGGCUCCCUCGGCCAAUAAAGCGAGACGAGCUCCGCAACCCCAGAGUCGGCCACGACUGGACCUAAUGGUCAGGGGUCCCUUUACCUAACAGGCACAAUGCUGUUUUUCUAGAAAAAGAGGUGCCGGAUCUCAUCAUGAACGCCUCCCUUGUUCACUUGGAAUGGCAAUGGCACCCACUUGAGAGGUGCUGGAACUGAGUUCCUGCUGGGAAAAAAGCCCUGUAGUGGGGGAUUCCUUAACUUUUGUGUCAGCAGCCCUACUGUUUUUAAGAAGGUUGUGAUUUGGCUAAGUUUUGUGGGGAGUCAGGAAAUAAGAGUUGUGGAUUUCAUCAGGGGCUUCCGUAACUUUCUCCCUGGUAACUCAAGGACUGAUGCUGAGCCUAGUCAAAUAUGUGGUAAUUAAAAUGUCCUAACUAUAUCUUUGGGCAGCUCCUUCUGGCCACAUCAAACAAUAUACGAGCUUUUUGUAUAGGUUAAACAAUCUUUAGGGCCUUAGCAGCAACAAAGAUGGUACCAUGAGGGCUCAUUGUCAGAGCAAUGGUUCUUUAAAUAGGUUCUUUAAAGGUUUGCAAUCUGGAAAAAUGAAGGCCGUACCUAUUGUGAUUCUCUCUCCCUCUCUUACUUUUUAGAGUUAGUAAAUGAUGUUAUUACACAGGGCAACCUGAACUGAUGUAGGACCUGGUGACAACUAGAAGAUGAUUUGGUUCCGCUGUGGUGCACAGAAAGGCUUUCUCGACUCAGCCAAGACGUAGCAGCUUUAGCUCGGCAGAGCAAAG
rnacentral:lncRNA from 1 species